CUCAUUCAUUAACAUUUACCGAACCUCCUAGCUGUUACUACUGAAGCUUGCAAACAUCUCAGCUGCGAACACCUUGACUACUACAAUUCAAUCCUUCACAUGCACCACACCUUCUGACUGUUGAAACUGCGAACACCUAGCUCGUGAACAAGCAAUUAGUCACUCUUGCAAACCACCUUAAGUCUAGUUUGAAACCUAUUAAAAAGCCCCACAAAAAAAGGCAUUAUGAGUAUAUCUGCAACCUAAUCUUGUGUUAGCACAUGACCAAUUGCCAAAGCACCACUAGUAACUUUCUCUGGA
rnacentral:lncRNA from 1 species